UACGAAGGGGGCUAGCGUUGUUCGGAAUUACUGGGCGUAAAGCGCACGUAGGCGGACAUUUAAGUCAGGGGUGAAAUCCCAGAGCUCAACUCUGGAACUGCCUUUGAUACUGGGUGUCUUGAGUAUGGAAGAGGUGAGUGGAAUUCCGAGUGUAGAGGUGAAAUUCGUAGAUAUUCGGAGGAACACCAGUGGCGAAGGCGGCUCACUGGCCCAUUACUGACGCUGAGGUGCGAAAGCGUGGGGAGCAAACAGG
rnacentral:rRNA from 1 species